AGUGAACGCUGGCGGUAGGCCUAACACAUGCAAGUCGAACGGCAGCACAGUAAGAGCUUGCUCUUACGGGUGGCGAGUGGCGGACGGGUGAGGAAUACAUCGUAAUCUACUUUUUCGUGGGGGAUAACGUAGGGAAACUUACGCUAAUACCUCAUACGACCUACGGGUGAAAGCAGGGGAUCUUCGGACCUUGCGCGAUUGAAUGAGCCGAUGUCGGAUUAGCUAGUUGGCGGGGUAAAGGCCCACCAAGGCGACGAUCCGUAGCUGGUGUGAGAGGAUGAUCAGCCACACUGGAACUGAGACACGGUCCAGACUCCUACGGGAGGCAGCAGUGGGGAAUAUUGGACAAUGGGCGCAAGCCUGAUCCAGCCAUACCGCGUGGGUGAAGAAGGCCUUCGGGUUGUAAAGCCCUUUUGUUGGGAAAGAAAAGCAGCAGGUUAAUACCCCGCUGUUCUGACGGUACCCAAAGAAUAAGCACCGGCUAACUUCGUG
rnacentral:rRNA from 1 species